rnacentral:rRNA from 1 species
UACGUAGGGGGCAAGCGUUGGUCCGGAUUUAUUGGGCGUAAAGAGCAGUGUAGGCGGCCUGAAAGGGUCAAGCUGUGAAAACAUCGAGGCUCAACCUCGAGACGUCGGUUGAAACCAUAUGGCUAGAGUCCGGAAGAGGAGAACGGAAUUCCUGGUGUAGCGGUGAAAUGCGCAGAUAUCAGGAGGAACACCGGUGGCGAAGGCGGUUCUCUGGCAAUGUUCUGACGCUGAGGAGCGAAAGUGUGGGGAGCGAACAGG